GCCAAGCUUCAGGCCUAACACAUGCAAGUCGAACGAACUCUUCGGAGUUAGUGGCGGACGGGUGAGUAACACGUGGGAACGUGCCUUUAGGUUCGGAAUAACUCAGGGAAACUUGUGCUAAUACCGAAUGUGCCCUUCGGGGGAAAGAUUUAUCGCCUUUAGAGCGGCCCGCGUCUGAUUAGCUAGUUGGUGAGGUAAAGGCUCACCAAGGCGACGAUCAGUAGCUGGUCUGAGAGGAUGAUCAGCCACAUUGGGACUGAGACACGGCCCAAACUCCUACGGGAGGCAGCAGUGGGGAAUCUUGCGCAAUGGGCGAAAGCCUGACGCAGCCAUGCCGCGUGAAUGAUGAAGGUCUUAGGAUUGUAAAAUUCUUUCACCGGGGACGAUAAUGACGGUACCCGGAGAAGAAGCCCCGGCUAACUUCGUGCCAGCAGCCGCGGUAAUACGAAGGGGGCUAGCGUUGCUCGGAAUUACUGGGCGUAAAGGGAGCGUAGGCGGACAUUUAAGUCAGGGGUGAAAUCCCGGGGCUCAACCUCGGAAUUGCCUUUGAUACUGGGUGUCUUGAGUAUGAGAGAGGUGUGUGGAACUCCGAGUGUAGAG
rnacentral:rRNA from 1 species